rnacentral:tRNA from 1 species
GGGGAAGUACCCAAGUUGGAUGAAGGGGUCUGCCUUGAAAGCAGAGAGGUCGGUGCUGAGCCGGCGCGUGGGUUCGAAUCCUACCUUCCCCGCCA